AGCCUCGCGUGAGUUUGAGAGCGAGAUUCCCUCGUGAGUGAUGGUGUGUUAUAGUUUAACCAUGAGAGCCGCAGCUAAAGCUUUAAUUUCUGUUUGCAGAAUAAAAACCCUUUAAAUGUGCAACCACCUGUGUGAAUUCUUCUCUGCACACUGGCCAAGGUGAACAAUGCCAGUCUGAUUGGAAUUGGUUACACUCAGACUCUGCGACCAGGUGUGAAGGUGACACUCUCUGCGCUCAUCGAUGGCAAGAAUUUCAGCACCGGAGGACAUAAAGUUGGAAUGGGCUUUGAACUCGAAGCAUCAUAAACAGCUGGAACCGGAUUCCUUGUGUGUGUCAACACACUUGGUCAACAAUUCUAUUUCUGAUAAAUGCCCAGUCUAGUGGUAUUUCUCCUCCACGUUCCAUCGUUCGUUAUACACAAGCAUUUACCCAGUCACGUUGAAAAAAUGAGACGUGAUCAUCGGUGCUGAGUCAACACUUGAAAGCUAAAUGCUUCCAUCCGCUAAGUAGAUGGUGCACCAAUGAUAGGAAUGUUCUGAGUUCUAAACACUUAAAUAUCCUGUUAAAUAUAAUUGUUAUUUAAAAAAAUACCACUGCACUACACCACUACAGGUUUCAUGGCAUUUAAUGGCAGUUGGAGUCGGUAUACAAUUAAUUCAAGAUAUUUUCCUGUUUUAUUACCAGAGAUAAAUUUGCAUUAUGUAACAAGUGUAGGAGCUAUUUGUCUAUUUUUGUGUGUGUAAUGUUAAAAUGAAGUUUGUAUAGUUUAUUUUUUGGUCUUUUGUGUUAAUUUGUUAAUUAGAAUAUGUUUACUGUAUGUAUUCUUCUAAUUGGAUUGGUUAGUAUUUCUUUUCUAUUGGGUUAGGUCAUGUGCACCUAGGGGAUUAAAAGGGGUUUACUUAUGGCAGCCCAGAAUGCACCUGGGUGGGCCUAUGUUGUUGUUGUUUUUUACUAGUUUGUCAAGCCAGUUGGGCACAAGGAGCAGGAGAUGCAAAAUUGUUUGUUGCAAAAUUGCCUGCAAAACCUUUAAUAAAGCUCACCAAACCCAUCA